rnacentral:rRNA from 1 species
CCCGAUCCCAUCUCGAACUCGGAAGUGAAACCGUUUAGCGCCGAUGAUAGUGUGGCAGUUUGCCAUGCGAAAGUAGGGAAUUGCCAAGC